UACGUAGGGUGCAAGCGUUGUCCGGAAUUAUUGGGCGUAAAGAGCUCGUAGGCGGUUUGUCGCGUCUGCCGUGAAAAUCCAGGGCUUAACCCUGGACCUGCAGUGGGUACGGGCAGACUAGAGUGCGGUAGGGGAGAUCGGAAUUCCUGGUGUAGCGGUGAAAUGCGCAGAUAUCAGGAGGAACACCGGUGGCGAAGGCGGAUCUCUGGGCCGUAACUGACGCUGAGGAGCGAAAGCAUGGGGAGCGAACAGG
rnacentral:rRNA from 1 species